GAGAAGAUUUGAAAUGAGUUUUCUGCCUUUAAUUCUUUGAGGAAGUGUUUGAAAGGCUCAGGCAUUUGUUAAAAAAAUAAGUAAAUAUGUAGAUAUAUUUAUUAAAUUUACAAAUUUUAAAACUUAAAAAAAUUUAAAAAUCGGCUGAUUAAUCGGUAAUUGGACCCCCCAUGAUUGCAUUUCCAUGAAGAAAUGAUCAUAAAUGUUCUUCCUUGAGCUGCGUCACCCCGCUGUAGUCUGUAAUGGACUGGCCUGAGGUCUCACUACAAACAAGCGGCUGCUGGAAGAGAGUAGGUGAGUUGUGUUUAGUCUCUUUGCUAAAGAAAUGAGUCAAAGUUAAAAAGAUGUUUGGUGUCUAGUACUAUGGCUGGGACCCUAUAUGUCCUGUUGAUGAAGUUAGGUGCUGUUCUGAGCAUUAUUUGUGGCUGUGGAGUGGCGUUUUGGUUGAGGGUGUGGCUCUCUGUAUUGCUAUCCUGCGGUCGUUACUAAAGUUGGUAAAACUAGAGAAGCAAGCGGUCGACAACAUUCAUCUCUGGAGGGGGGUCUAACUCGGUGUUACGGUGGGUUUGACCCUAAAUUAAUUUUAUGCCGG